rnacentral:rRNA from 1 species
GGAUUAGAUACCCUGGUAGUCCACGCCGUAAACGAUGUCUACUUGGAGGUUGUGGCCUUGAGCCGUGGCUUUCGGAGCUAACGCGUUAAGUAGACCGCCUGGGGAGUACGGUCGCAAGAUUAAAACUCAAAGGAAUUGACGGGGGCCCGCACAAGCGGUGGAGUAUGUGGUUUAAUUCGAAGCAACGCGCAGAACCUUACCUGGCCUUGACAUCCCGGGACAACCUCAGAGAUGAGGCGUUCUCUUCGGAGACUCGGUGACAGAUGCUGCAUGGCUGUCGUCAGCUCGUGCUG